rnacentral:tRNA from 1 species
GCCCCUAUAGCUCAGUCGGCAGAGCAGCGGACUUUUAAUCCGUGGGUCGCGGGUUCGAGCCCCGCUGGGGGCACCA